rnacentral:rRNA from 1 species
UACAGAGGGCUCAAGCGUUGUUCGGAUUCAUUGGGCGUAAAGGGUGCGUAGGCGGCGGGGUAAGUCAGGUGUGAAAUCUCGGGGCUCAACCCCGAAACUGCACUUGAUACUGCCUCGCUUGAGUACUGGAGAGGAGACUGGAAUUUACGGUGUAGCAGUGAAAUGCGUAGAUAUCAGGAGGAACACCGGUGGCGAAGGCGGGUCUCUGGGCCGAUACUGACGCUGAGGAGCGAAAGCGUGGGGAGCGAACAGG